rnacentral:rRNA from 1 species
CAAAACACAGUCUCAGUUCAGAUUGUAGGCUGAAACUCGCCUAUAUGAAGUCGGAAUUGCUAGUAAUCGCGGAUCAGCAUGCCGCGGUGAAUACGUUCCCGGGCCUUGUACACACCGCCCGUCACACCAUGAGAGUCGAUAACACCCGAAGCCUGUAGUCUAACAGCAAUGAGGACGCAGUCGAAGGUGGGAUUGAUAAUUAGGGUGAAGUCGUAACAAGGUAUC